CAAACUGUGCUUCAGGUGCCUUCCUUCCCUUAGCCUAAUUUUCAUUGAGAAAACAAUCACUUCUUCUUGAGGCUGUCUUUUUUGGGAUGAGGAAAAGGGGAACGAGAAGAGCCUUUCUCCUUCAGUUUUAAACCACGAGAAGGCACAAAAACAAAACACGUGAUAGGGGAUUCAUCCCAGCCCCAGCAGCCCCCUUAUCUUCCUUUUCUUUUAUUUUUCCUGCUGGCUUCCUGCUCUGGAACUCCUUGGCAGCUCCUGGGACAACAUCUGAACUUUGCAAACGUGAAGGAAUUCAAACGGAGGCCUGGACGUCAUCGCGUUUUCCAAGAAUUUGGUUUUGGGAAGAGUGGGAAAACCUCAGUUCCAACUACUGCCAGCCUGUGCUUAGCACCAAGAACCCAUAUCAAGAAUGCAGUGGUUACAUCAGGUGAGGCCUCACAAAGCAGCUCGUGUCCUUUCCAUAAUCUUGUUUCCUCCUGCCAAAACCCUCCCAUGGAAAUGGGAUCAGCAGGGAUGCGAUGUUGCAGGGCUCCCAUUGCUCUGCAGUGACUCCUGCAGUGAUGGAAGCCUGGAAGUGAGCAGGAAAAUCUGGGAGCUGCUGCCAGAACUGCAACAGAAAUGAGGAGACAGGAGGAUGGAUGCUGUAGGUCCCCCUGAGGUGGGGCAGGGUUGGGAGGCUUGGAGGCUGCAGGGAGGAGGAAGAGGAUGAGGAAGAGCAGCUCACUAGGUGGCAUUCUGCCCUCUGAUUUCAGCUGGGAACAUGGGAAGUGGGGCUGGGGAAUGGGAGUGGCUUCCCACAGGAAUCUUAUUCCCACAGAGGACCCAACACUCCUGGUCAUCCUGGGACCUCAGGCAGGUGGCUGACCGCCCAGGAGCCCCUGGUCCCAAAAAAGCCUGGCUCUAGAUCUCAUAUUUUUGGGGCAAAGCUCAAACUGGUGAGCAGAAUACGCCUGCAGAGUUAAUAAACCAAAUUAACCAGUCA
rnacentral:lncRNA from 1 species